rnacentral:rRNA from 1 species
GACGAACGCUGGCGGCGUGCUUAACACAUGCAAGUCGAGCGGUAAGGCCCUUUCGGGGGUACACGAGCGGCGAACGGGUGAGUAACACGUGGGUGACCUGCCCUCAGCUCUGGGAUAAGCCUGGGAAACUGGGUCUAAUACUGGAUAUGACUCCACGGUGCAUGUCGUGGGGUGGAAAGCCUUGUGCGGCUGAGGAUGGGCCCGCGGCCUAUCAGCUUGUUGGGGGGUGAUGGCCUACCAAGGCGACGACGGGUAGCCGGCCUGAGAGGGCGACCGGCCACACUGGGACUGAGACACGGCCCAGACUCCUACGGGAGGCAGCAGUGGGGAAUCUUGCGCAAUGGGCGAAAGCCUGACGCAGCGACGCCACGUGA